rnacentral:rRNA from 1 species
UACGAAGGGGGCUAGCGUUGUUCGGAAUUACUGGGCGUAAAGCGUGCGCAGGCGGCCUUCCAAGUCAGGGGUGAAAGCCCAGAGCUCAACUCUGGAAUUGCCUUUGAGACUGUGAGGCUUGAGUACGGGAGAGGUGAGUGGAAUUCCCAGUGUAGAGGUGAAAUUCGUAGAUAUCGGGAGGAACACCAGUGGCGAAGGCGGCGACCUGGACGGACACUGACGCUGAGACGCGAAAGCGUGGGGAGCAAACAGG